AUUGAACGCUGGCGGCAUGCCUUACACAUGCAAGUCGAACGACCUCACGGGAAGGCUUGCUUUCCUGUCGUCGCGUGGCACACGGGAGUGUAACACAGCUGAACUUACCAGCUGGCGGGGGUUAAUUCGUCGAAACACGGGCUAAUACCGCAUACGCUCUUCGCAGGAUAGCACAGGACCUUUGGGCCUUGUGCUAGUCGAGCGGCCGGUGUCCGAUUAGCUAGUUGGUAGGGUAAAGGCCUACCAAGGCGACGAUCGGUAGCGGGUCUGAGAGGUCGAUCCGCCACACUGGGACUGAGACACGGCCCAGACUCCUACGGGAGGCAGCAGUGGGGAAUCUUGGACAAUGGGGGAAACCCUGACCCAGCAAUGCCGCGUGGGUGAAGAAGGUCUUCGGGUUGUAAAGCCCUUUCGGCAGGGAAGAAAACGGCGGGGCGAAUAACCGUGCUGGAUGACGGUACCUGCAGAAGAAGCACCGGCUAACUACGUG
rnacentral:rRNA from 1 species